AACGAACGCUGGCGGCAGGCUUAACACAUGCAAGUCGAACGCCCCGCAAGGGGAGUGGCAGACGGGUGAGUAACGCGUGGGAAUCUACCGUGCCCUGCGGAAUAGCUCCGGGAAACUGGAAUUAAUACCGCAUACGCCCUACGGGGGAAAGAUUUAUCGGGGUAUGAUGAGCCCGCGUUGGAUUAGCUAGUUGGUGGGGUAAAGGCCUACCAAGGCGACGAUCCAUAGCUGGUCUGAGAGGAUGAUCAGCCACAUUGGGACUGAGACACGGCCCAAACUCCUACGGGAGGCAGCAGUGGGGAAUAUUGGACAAUGGGCGCAAGCCUGAUCCAGCCAUGCCGCGUGAGUGAUGAAGGCCUUAGGGUUGUAAAGCUCUUUCACCGAUGAAGAUAAUGACGGUAGUCGGAGAAGAAGCCCCGGCUAACUUCGUGCCAGCAGCCGCCGUAA
rnacentral:rRNA from 1 species